rnacentral:lncRNA from 1 species
AUCUCUUUGGUUUGUGUCUAGCUAGCAAUCAUUAAGAACAAAUGGGGUAAGUUAAAAGCAUGUUGAGUUGGCUCAGACAUUUCAUCGAACACCUUUUAGGCGAUGAAAUGUCUAGAUCUCUAAUCUGAGAUAGUCAACUCUAGAUUAGCAUUAAGUUCACUCAAUCAAACAAGGAAACAUAUUAAUCUAUCCUAGACAUUCUAGAUCAUCACUUAAUCAUCCUAAUCAUCCUAAUCCAUGAAUCAAAAGAUGACUACUCACUAAUCUUCAUGAUAAACCAAAGAAUCGAUGAUAAUUUGGUGUUAAUCAUGAUUAGUGAUCAAGAUAAUUAAGCAAUCACAAAAGAUAAUGAUCAAGAGUAGAUCUUUCACGUAAAAGUUCUUUGUGAUUAGAUAGAAAACAAGAUAAGUCUCAACUUUGGGAUAACAAGGGUAUUUAUACAAUCCCUAGAAAACCUAAAGGUUUCAUUAAAAAGUCUAAAAAGCCCUUAAAAACUGUUUAAAAUCGACAAAGGAUAAGUCUCGACUCGGGUAGAAAUGGACGGGCACAACCCGCGUCGGAUCGUCGUCGAGGCUUCUCCGUCAUGCGCGCGGGUAGGCGAUCCCGCGUGGCUCCAUCCCGCGUGAACCCAUCGGUUACUUCUCUUCGUGACGCGGGUAAGGGAACCCGCGUGCUCCAACCCGCGUCAAGACGUCGAGCAACUCCAUUCUCGUGUGCGCGGGUAAGCCA